rnacentral:lncRNA from 10 species
GCCUCGUAAAGAAAGUUCCUGCUGCUUCUUCUGCUAUGAUUGUAAAUUUCCUGAGGCCUCUCCAGCCACGCAGAACUAUGGUGUCAGAAUUGGAACAUGAAGUAGAACUUCCAGUAACCCCUAGGAGCAUCAAGUGACCCAGAGAGGUAACCCCCUCCACCAGGGUCCAUUGCAUCCAUUGCUCUCUCACAGCAACUGAGGCUCAUGGGACUGGAGUGGAGUCGGUAGGAAGGAACAGUCUUUGAAGUUAGAUGCGCCAGGUUGUAACCCCACUUCCACCAAUUGUGGUAACUUUGUGAGACAAGCCUCAAAUUUUACCACUGUACCAAGAAAUGAAAGCCAGAAUGUGGAAUUGGAGCUGGUAAUGACGACGUCAGGACAGGUUCAAAGGAAGCCCAUCACUUGAGUAAAAAUUUAUAGCCCUGCUUGUGCUGUGCUGUGCUGUGCUGUGAGUUUCAGUUCCGGGCCAGCAAAAGAUUUAUCAAAGGAAAGCAACAAGGUGUAAGAAAAAUUAAUUUCAGAGAGGAAAAUAAAGUUGCUUGAGGGGCUCUUCAAUGACCAAAGGCCAUAAGAGACUGGAAGGCAAAAGGACCCAUUAAUGUAAUCCAAACAUCAGUCUCCUGCAGCAAAGAGGUGAAUGGAGAAGGGUGGAGAGUAGCUGUGGACGAGUGAAAAAGACAUCGCACCAUGUCUUCAAAUUACAUCCAGCAACUUCAUAUGAACUAUGAAACCCUUGUUGCCACAAUAGUCCCUCUUUGUUUGAACUACUACAAGAAUAAAGAAAUUUCUUUCUAAUCUUUUGCAGAAGAAUUACAUAGACUCUCACUUACUGCUCUUGUUUCAUAGGUGGCUGAUUUUCCAAUUAUAUUAAAUACUUUUGGAAGGGCUGGGACUACAUCUAAUUUCUUGAAAAGUCUGGUGCUGUGGAAGACCAAGACCCAGACUGUUGAGGUCAGCCUAAUGUAAUGUGAAAUAUCUAAACUCUGCGUACUUCUUUACCAUGAGUGUAUAGAUAAAAUAUCAUUGCAUUUAAGGAAAUUGCUUAAAGCCUCACAGUGAAUAAAGUUGACAAAACAUGUAGACUUAUUGCAGAUUUUAUGCAUUUAGGUUUUAUGGCUUCAUUUGCAAUCAGGACUCCCCUCCCCUCCCUUCCUCCCUUCCUUCCCUUCCCUUCCCUGUCCUUCUUUCUUUCCUUUCCUUCCCCUUCCUUCCUUCUCCUCGUCCUGUUU